CACACUGGCCUCCUCCGUGCUGUACCUGCCGUGGGACUUUUUCCAGGAAGGCCCAGGGCUCCUGGAGUGAGUGUUGUAAGCAGCCCAGGGAGAAGCUGCAAGACCUCUUUUUUGAUGUCGGCUCAGAACAUCACUUCUGCUUCAUUCUACUCGUCGAACAAGUCACGAGAAGCUGCAAACCAGAGGCCCGUCUGGCUGGCGUGAAUGGAAGGACAAACGCUCCACCAAAUUGCUCUGGGAAUGUCAUUCUAAUUAUUGGAUCCUGACCCAGCGGCAUGCUGAUAAGCUCUGGGCUGGAGACGCCCUAUCUCCCAGGAGCUCAAAGCCUGCUCGAGGCCGCCUCUCUCCCACUCGUGGCAUCCCUGCCAAGCAAUUAGCCUCAGGGCUGCCUGAGAGCUGAUGGCUGGGAGUUGCAGUCGCCCCGGAGGGCUGUGGCCGGGAGGGUGGAAGGGUCAGGGAUGUCCUCCCACUGUGUUCCCAUAGGAGGUGCCCAGCUCCUCUGGGUUUCCCUUCUCGGCCUCCCCUUCUGUUCAGGCCCCACGUUCUAGUCUGCAUAAUGGGCAGCUCUGGGGACUCUGCAUGUUGGUCCUGGGCUCCCUUGACGGGCUGAGUUGUGUCCCCCACCCCCUAGAUUCCUCUGCUCAAGGGCCAACCCCCAGGACCUCAGAAAGUGACCGUAUUUGAAGACGGACUCUUCAAAGAGAAGAGGACAUGAGGACCCGGACACACACAGAGGGAAGGCCACGUGAAGACACCGGUAGAAGACAGCCAACCACAAGCAAGAGGGGAGGCCUCCAAAGAAACCAGCCAGCCGACACCUUGAUCUUGAAAGGACUUCGUGUGAACAAAGCACCUGGUUUGAUGCCCCGGCAGAUGACGGGCACGGAGCACCGCCGUAGUCUGGGUGAUCAGUGCACAUUUUCAGAAGAAGAACAACCACCCUCGGAAGUAUGAAAGACUUCGAUCCGCGGAGUUCAAUUGCCGCCCGAGUGGUUUGUGGCAAAUCCCUUGUUGGCCAGCGUUUUACAUGGGACAAUUCUUAAAAUUAAUCACCUUUAACGACAAGAAGCAAAGCUACAAUGGAAGAAUGACAGGCAGAGAUGAGUCUAAAUUACUCAGCAGGGGCCAUGUUAUUUUGGGCCAUUUAUCGGUCAUCCUCGAAGGUGAUGGAAAAGUACAAUUUCCUGUUUGGUUGAUUGUAUCAGAGACCACAGCUGCGUGUCAGAAUACACAGGAACAGGCAGGCAGUUUAUUAUAGGGACCAAGUUGGACUGGACUGAAUCCUGGCUGCUCUGACUAUAGCUGUGUGACUUUGGCAGAACCACUCAGCCUUUCUGGGCUUCAGUUGUCUCCUGCAGAUCUGAGAUAAUAGCAGUUUGUAUUUACU